rnacentral:rRNA from 1 species
CAACUUGAGAGUUUGAUCCUGGCUCAGAACGAACGCUGGCGGCAGGCCUAACACAUGCAAGUCGAGCGAACCUUCGGGUUAGCGGCGGACGGGUGAGUAACGCGUGGGAACGUACCCUCUUCUGCGGGAUAGCCACUGGAAACGGUGAGUAAUACCGCAUACGCCCUUCGGGGGAAAGAUUUAUCGGAGGAGGAUCGGCCCGCGUUGGAUUAGGUAGUUGGUGGGGUAAUGGCCUACCAAGCCUACGAUCCAUAGCUGGUUUUAGAGGAUGAUCAGCCACACUGGGACUGAGACACGGCCCAGACUCCUACGGGAGGCAGCAGUGGGGAAUCUUAGACAAUGGGCGCAAGCCUGAUCUAGCCAUGCCGCGUGAGUGACGAAGGCCUUAGGGUCGUAAAGCACUUUCGCCUGUGAUGAUAAUGACAGUAGCAGGUAAAGAAACCCCGGCUAACUCCGUGCCAGCAGCCGCGGUAAUACGGAGGGGGUUAGCGUUGUUCGGAAUUACUGGGCGUAAAGCGC